UUCUCCGCGCUGAACCACGACUGACAUAGUCGCUGAAAACUCAGCUAGCUCGGCCGGUGGUUCUAAGAAAGAACGGUCUGUUCUCCGGUGCUUGCUCGGCCGUCACUCCUCGCCACAACGAGUAAUUAUCUUCCUGUCCCCUUUUGAUUUUCGUUUUUAGAAUUAGGGUUUGUACAAUUCUGUUUUUGUUUUUUUGUUUUUUUGGCUAGUUCUUCAAUUCGUUCUUUGCACUUAAUUUGUGAAGAUCGUACUGCCUGCAGGAAUCUAUCAUCGUGCUUGUUUAGAUUUAACAACUGCAUUAAGGCUUCUAUUUUGCUGUUGACACCAGCAUUUGCAAGGCUUAUUUUGCGACUUAAUCUUCAGCCUCCUGAAUUUGUUACUGAUUUUGAGUUAGCGCUCCCUAGUCAAAUCCUAUUCUGCUAUGGUUCCAGCUAGCCUCUUGCUUGUAGCCUUGUAGGGGAUAAGAAAAGGUAGAGUUCCCCAAAAACCAUUCGCAAAAUAAUCGAUUUCUUUGCCUGGAAGUCUACGAUUACUCAUUGGCACCAACUUUGCGUCUGCUGGUUCGGGUUACGCCGAGAGAACAGCCAGCUUAUAUAGGGCGGUAUCUCUUACGCAACAGUUGGGGUACUACAAGGAGUACCAGAGUAAGGUGACAAAAUUGGUGGGGAUUGAGAAAGCAAAAGGGAUGUUCUCAGCUGGAAUUCAUCUUCUCGGUGCUGGAAAUAGUGAUUAUCUUCAGAAUUACAACAUCAAUACUUAUAUCUACAGACAGUAUACACCUGAUCAGUUUGCUGAUCUUCUUAUGACCUCCUUCUCUAACUUUGUCCAGUUCUUUAAGCGCUCGGUGGAUCAGUAUGAGAGUGACUUGCAGUUUGUGGUCCAAUCUCUUUUACUUUCUAUGGAUGUAAACGAGCUUCAGCUUGUUAAAUCUGGUCUAUGCUAUGGA